AUACUGCACUGUUCACCAUUAACCGUUUGACGCGUAUGAUCUCCGGCUAUGCUGACCCCUGAGAAUUUCCCAAAUGUGGAAAUCUCGAUUGCAUAAUUUCUGGUAGUGGGGGACUGCGUUCGCGCUCUCCCCUG
ensembl:snRNA U1 U1 spliceosomal RNA